UACGAAGGGGGCUAGCGUUGCUCGGAAUCACUGGGCGUAAAGCGCACGUAGGCGGCUUUCUAAGUCAGGGGUGAAAUCCUGGAGCUCAACUCCAGAACUGCCUUUGAUACUGGAAAGCUUGAGUUCGGGAGAGGUAAGUGGAACUGCGAGUGUAGAGGUGAAAUUCGUAGAUAUUCGCAAGAACACCAGUGGCGAAGGCGGCUCACUGGCCCGAUACUGACGCUGAGGUGCGAAAGCGUGGGGAGCAAACAGG
rnacentral:rRNA from 1 species